GGAUUAGAUACCCUGGUAGUCCACGCCGUAAACGAUGUCUACUAGCCGUUGGGAGCCUUGAGCUCUUAGUGGCGCAGCUAACGCACUAAGUAGACCGCCUGGGGAGUACGGUCGCAAGAUUAAAACUCAAAUGAAUUGACGGGGGCCCGCACAAGCGGUGGAGCAUGUGGUUUAAUUCGAUGCAACGCGAAGAACCUUACCAAGACUUGACAUCCUGAGAACUUUCUAGAGAUAGAUUGGUGCCUUCGGGAACUCAGAGACAGGUGCUGCAUGGCUGUCGUCAGCUCGUGCCG
rnacentral:rRNA from 1 species